rnacentral:rRNA from 1 species
AUUGAACGCUGGCGGCAUGCUUUACACAUGCAAGUCGAACGGCAGCGCGGGCUUCGGCCUGGCGGCGAGUGGCGAACGGGUGAGUAAUACAUCGGAACGUGCCCAGUAGUGGGGGAUAGCUCGGCGAAAGCCGGAAUAAUACCUCAGACGACCUGUGGGUGACAGCGGGGGAUCUUCGGACCUCGCGCUAUUGGAGCGGCCGAUGGCAGAAUAGCUAGUUGGUGGGGUAAAGGCCUACCAAGGCGACGAUCUGUAGCUGGUCUGAGAGGACGACCAGCCACACUGGGACUGAGACACGGCCCAGACUCCUACGGGAGGCAGCAGUGGGGAAUUUUGGACGAAGGGCGAGAGCCUGAUCCAGCAAUGCCGCGUGUGGGAUGAAGGCCUUCGGGUUGUAAAGCACUUUUGGCGGGAACGAAAAGGACUGUGCCAAUACCACGGUUCGAUGACGGUACCCGCAGAAUAAGCACCGGCUAACUACGUG